CAGGAUUGGCUGCCCCUUCAUAACCAUGAGAUAAUUAAAACGGGGGGGGGCAGGGUUAAAAAAAACUUUUUUUUUUUUUUUAUCAGCCAGAGGUUAAUGCAAGUGUUUAGCAGAUGCUUUACUAUUAAAUUAUUUUUCCCCCCAAGUCUCAAAUCUUGAAGAAUCCCAAACCAGUGACAGCAGCCCCGCGACGACCUUGGGCGAUUUCAAAGCACAGGCACCUCGAUUCCCCGAAUUUGUGGUGUGGCCGGCAUCGGUGUUCUCCUGGUUUAACUAGACUGUUUGCAGGCAGGGUCAGGCCCCAGGUCUCAAAGGGAGUCCCACCCCGCAGAGGGAGACCCACCCCAGGGGCUCCAUGAAGACAGUCCUUUCUCAGCCCGCUGGACGCUUUCUGCGGGGUCCAGAGUUGCGGUUGGAAGGCAAGGUCAGUGAGAAUGGGGGGGGGGUUGGUGGGGGCACCCAACUCCUCUGCAGCAGGGUUCUAGGGCUGGCUCCACGGGCCACUACAGCCCUGAGCAGCAGCACCGAGAAAUAGUUUUUAGGUUUGAGGUGGCUGGGCGGUAGGAGAGGGGAAAGAACUGAGAGGGGCUCGAAGUAGGCUCGCAAACCCAGGGCGGGAGUCCAUUCAGGGCCCAUCUGUCCCCUAGGCAAGGGGUCAGUUUCCCUGCAUGCCCGCAGCAUAGCAUCUUAAGGCAGAGAACAGGGUGUGGGGAGAAGCUGAAAUUGUAUUUGUUGGUAAAAUGCCACUUGGGCAUGGAACAAAAUAGUGACCUAGAGCUUUCAACCCCCAACUUGGAUGGGUCUGCGAUUUUAGCACGAGUGGAAUGUUUUAGAGCCCUCUUUCUUCAAGGAAAGAAUAUGGUAGUGUGGUGGGAUUCUGUUUACGUUUUCACCAGGGAGGCAACCCCUGAAUGUGUAAAUACUGGUAG